rnacentral:misc_RNA from 1 species
GAUGAAGAACGCAGCGAAAUGCGAUAGGUAGUGUGAAUUGCAGAUGUAACGUGAAUCAUCGAAUCUUUGAACGCAAAUUGCACUCUCUGGUAUUCCGGGGAGUAUGCCUGUUUGAGGGUCGCCAAAUCAAAAUCGAAAUUCAUUUGCUUUUUUGUAAAUGUUUAUCGGAUUUGAGCCGUCUUUUUUUAUUUUAAUUAAAGUGGCUUAAAAUGUAUUUUUUUGGUAUCGAAAUACGUUAUUUUACGAUCAAAUUGAUUAAAAAAACAAACGUUUUCGAAUGCCGCCUUUUUAAUGUAAUACGUUUGACUGUGAUGGUUAAUCAUAGUUUCAUUCGUAUACGAUUUUUUAAUUUUUGACCUCAAAUCAGGUAAGAACACCCGCUGAACUUAAGCAUAUCAAUAAGCGGAGA